CAGGCAAAAUAAGCGUACACCAUUAAUAAAAGGUGAGGUUCAAAACUCAAAUAAGCGCAAUUCAAUCAUUCCUUCUUUUCUUUUUGGAGAAUACCAAGCAACAACCUUCCCAGAGCGUAGAAGCCUCAAUGAAUAACUCAAACUAUAUAUUAGAUCCUCUACAUGCGGACCUUGUUGCCCUGAUGCAGAACCAAGCGAAAAUCCCGAAUCCACUCGGAAGACAAUUGGGCCAGCAACCUGCUGUUGAAGAAUCAAAUUAAUCCUGGGAGAUGACAAUGGAUUGUCUGCUGCACCACUAACUGAAGACCUCCUGAAAAUAUUUAAAGCCCUUUUGGUAAGAGCAAAAGCUGAACAGAUAUCCAGGCGGGCAUCCACCCUAGUUAGAUCACCAUAUAGCUUUGUAAACUUCCCGUGUUGGAAAGUAUAGCAAACUGAGCCAAAAAAAUCAGCAUUGAAUGGGCUUCUCUUUCCUGUACUUGUUGAGGUAUCCCCGUCUGUAGAUGCUGAGUACCCCCAGCCUCCAAACCGUGCUGCGCAGGAGCCACCAACAAUUCCAGAUAUUGCUGCAUGAGGUUCACUGAGACGCACAUCAUAUGAGGGACGCCAAAUCCAACCCUUAUCUGCCUUUGUCAUGAUGUCCUUCUUAGUCUGUUUCUUCCUCCAAAGAUCCUUGCUCUUCUCAUAAGAAAAGGAAGCCUUUCCACAUAAUCCAGGCAUCAAAGCAAGAGGUGGCUCAUCAUUUAUGGCAUUAACAGCCUUUGGA
rnacentral:misc_RNA from 1 species